rnacentral:rRNA from 1 species
UACGUAGGUGGCAAGCGUUGUCCGGAAUUAUUGGGCGUAAAGCGCGCGCAGGCGGUCCUUUAAGUCUGAUGUGAAAGCCCACGGCUCAACCGUGGAGGGUCAUUGGAAACUGGGGGACUUGAGUGCAGAAGAGGAAAGCGGAAUUCCGAACGUGUAGCGGUGAAAUGCGUAGGAGAAUGUGGAGGAACACCAGUGGCGAAGGCGGCUUCUGG